GAGUGACACAGGCCUACGUCACAAUAACAUGGCCGCUAUAUAUAGCGCUAUCGCAUAUUAUCAUAUAGCGCUGUCGCAUGAUGACGUAGGCUUGUGUCAGUUAGGUGACCUAGAAAAGACGGGAAUAGAGUACCAGGCGGAGUAUAUUAUUAUACCAUGGGUGUUUGCCAAUCAGUGAUGAAUAUUGCCUGCAAUGGAUUAAUAAUAUGCAUCAGGUGCUCCCAUUCUAGCUCCUAUCACCCGAAAAGCGAACAAUUGGAAAUAUUUUUUAAAUUUAGAAGGGGAAACAUGUCGUUAAACAUCGUACGCCUGCUAACCAAUGGAUAGAGUUACUACUGGUCAAUGUAUUAUAUCUGACUGAGCUGGAACGAGGCCAAGAUGGAUGCUCGAGACAGAAAAGCGUGGAAGGAUGUUGUGGAGGCCCUACACACCUACGGGUUGCCGUUGAACAAUCAACAACAACAAUGUAUUAUAUCUGAAAAAAUGAAGUGACAAAAUAUAAUUUAUAUGGAAUAAGAG